AUUGAACGCUGGCGGCAGGCCUAACACAUGCAAGUCGAGCGGAUGAAGGGAGCUUGCUCCUGGAUUCAGCGGCGGACGGGUGAGUAAUGCCUAGGAAUCUGCCUGGUAGUGGGGGAUAACGUCCGGAAACGGGCGCUAAUACCGCAUACGUCCUGAGGGAGAUAGUGGGGGAUCUUCGUACCUCACGCUAUCAGAUGAGCCUAGGUCGGAUUAGCUAGUUGGUGGGGUAAAGGCCUACCAAGGCGACGAUCCGUAACUGGUCUGAGAGGAUGAUCAGUCACACUGGAACUGAGACACGGUCCAGACUCCUACGGGAGGCAGCAGUGGGGAAUAUUGGACAAUGGGCGAAAGCCUGAUCCAGCCAUGCCGCGUGUGUGAAGAAGGUCUUCGGAUUGUAAAGCACUUUAAGUUGGGAGGAAGGGCAGUAAGUUAAUACCUUGCUGUUUUGACGUUACCAACAGAAUAAGCACCGGCUAACUUCGUG
rnacentral:rRNA from 1 species